rnacentral:rRNA from 1 species
CCUACGGGAGGCUGCAGUGAGGAAUAUUGGUCAAUGGCCGGAAGUCUGAACCAGCCAAGUCGCGUGAAGGAAGACGGCCCUACGGGUUGUAAACCUCUUUUGUCGGGGAGCAAAGCGAGUCACGUGUGACUCCUUGAGCGUACCCUAAGAAAAAGCAUCGGCUAACUCCGUGCCAGCAGCCGCGGUAAUACGGAGGAUGCGAGCGUUAUCCGGAUUUAUUGGGUUUAAAGGGUGCGCAGGCGGAGGGGCAAGUCAGCGGUCAAAUUGCGGGGCUCAACCCCGGACUGCCGUUGAAACUGCAUGCCUUGAGUGCGGGAGAAGUAGGCGGAAUGCGUGGUGUAGCGGUGAAAUGCAUAGAUAUCACGCAGAACGCCGAUUGCGAAGGCAGCAUACCGGGGCGCAACUGACGCUCAGGCACGAAAGCGUGGGUAUCGAACAGGAUUAGAUACCCUUGUAGUC